UUCAGGAUAGCUCAGUCGGUAGAGCAUGAGACUGUUCAUCUCAGGGUCAUGUGUUCGAGUUCUACCUAGGGCAAAA